rnacentral:sRNA from 1 species
CCCUGUCUCAGGGGUGAGGAUGGGGAUCCACAGGCUGCUCCUGUCUCAGGGGUUGGGGGUGGGGAUCCACAGGCUGCCCCUGUCAUCAGGUCUUCGUGGAUGACAAUUAACAGACGUCUCUGCCAGCUUUGUCUCCAUCUCAGAAGACACUGAGUGAAAAGUCCCUACAUGGUUUUUCACAUUUCGUGAGACCCAGGCACGUCAGAAAAAUGUUGAGAUCCUAAAGUCCAACUCAGCCUCUGAAGCAGCAUUGUGUCUACCAGUUUACAAAUGAACUAAGAGGCUGGAGAGAGAGAGAGAGAGAGAUGCUCAGCUGCUCCUAUAGAGGCUGCCCUCCCUCAUGGUCAUGGCCAGUCCCUGCAUCUCUUAGAAGCUUCCUGACUCCUUGGAAACAUGGACUCCCUUGUGUCAAGGCCG